UACGUAGGGUGCAAGCGUUGUCCGGAAUUAUUGGGCGUAAAAAGCGUGUAGGCGGCUCGAUUAGUCUGCUGUGAAAGUCCAGGGCUCAACCCUGGAAUGCCGGUGGAUACUGUCGAGCUAGAGUCCGGAAGGGGCGAGUGGAAUUCCUGGUGUAGCGGUGAAAUGCGCAGAUAUCAGGAGGAACACCGAUGGCGAAGGCAGCUCGCUGGGACGUGACUGACGCUGAGACGCGAAAACGUGGGGAGCAAACAGG
rnacentral:rRNA from 1 species